rnacentral:rRNA from 1 species
UAGUAAUGGCAGGUCAGCAUACUGCCGUGAAUACGUUCCCGGGCCUUGUACACACCGCCCGUCACACCAUGAGAGUUGGGAAUACCCGAAGCCUGUGAGCUAACUGUAAAGAGGCAGCAGUCGAAGGUAGAAUCAAUGAUUGGGGUGAAGUCGUAACAAGGUAGC